rnacentral:rRNA from 1 species
GACGAACGCUGGCGGCGUGCCUAAUACAUGCAAGUCGAGCGAUGAUUAAAGAUAGCUUGCUAUUUUUAUGAAGAGCGGCGAACGGGUGAGUAACGCGUGGGAAAUCUGCCGAGUAGCAGGGGACAACGUUUGGAAACGAACGCUAAUACCGCAUAACAAUGAGAAUCGCAUGACUCUUAUUUGAAAGAAGCAAUUGCUUCACUACUUGAUGAUCCCGCGUUGUAUUAGCUAGUUGGUAGUGUAAAGGACUACCAAGGCGAUGAUACAUAGCCGACCUGAGAGGGGGAUCGGCCACACUGGGACUGAGACACGGCCCAGACUCCUACGGGAGGCAGCAGUAGGGAAUCUUCGGCAAUGGGGGCAACCCUGACCGAGCAACGCCGCGUGAGUGAAGAAGGUUUUCGGAUCGUAAAACUCUGUUGUUAGAGAAGAACGUUAAGUAGAGUGGAAAAUUACUUAAGUGACGGUAUCUAACCAGAAAGGGACGGCUAACUACGUGCCAGCCGCCGCUGUAA